AGCUCCCCCCCCACUAUCGCUGGUGCUGCUGGCGCUGCUCCCUCCCUCUGUCUCCGCCUCCAGUGACCACCCCCCCUCGGCUGCUUUUUUGAGGAGCGGAAAGACGACGGCCGCUUGCGGUUAAUUAGCAGCAGUGCAGCUCGCUGGGGGAAAAGAGCCGAAGGGAUGGCACGGUGGCAGGGGGGGAGCCCGUGUCAAGUCCCGGGCGCGCAGUGCGGGGCCGACGGGCCUUACCCGAUAACCCUGGGCGGACCCGGUUCCAAGCGAGUUCGUGGUGGGGCCCGCGCGUACGGACGUGGAGGACGUGGGGGGUUGGCGUAUCAAUGACAGCGUGGGGCCCGGCGCGGGAUUUGGGCCGG
rnacentral:lncRNA from 1 species